UAGAUACCCUGGUAGUCCACGCCGUAAACGUUGGGCGCUAGAUGUAGGGACCUUUCCACGGUUUCUGUGUCGUAGCUAACGCAUUAAGCGCCCCGCCUGGGGAGUACGGCCGCAAGGCUAAAACUCAAAGGAAUUGACGGGGGCCCGCACAAGCGGCGGAGCAUGCGGAUUAAUUCGAUGCAACGCGAAGAACCUUACCAAGGCUUGACAUACACCGGAAACGGCCAGAGAUGGUCGCCCCCUUGUGGUCGGUGUACAGGUGGUGCAUGGUUGUCGUCAGCUCGUGUCGUGAGAUGUUGGGUUAAGUCCCGCAACGAGCGCAACCCUCGUUCUAUGUUGCCAGCGCGUUAUGGCGGGGACUCAUAGGAGACUGCCGGGGUCAACUCGGAGGAAGGUGGGGAUGACGUCAAAUCAUCAUGCCCCUUAUGUCUUGGGCUUCACGCAUGCUACAAUGGCCGGUACAAAGGGCUGCGAUACCGUAAGGUGGAGCGAAUCCCAAAAAGCCGGUCUCAGUUCGGAUUGAGGUCUGCAACUCGACCUCAUGAAGUCGGAGUCGCUAGUAAUCGCAGAUCAGCAACGCUGCGGUGAAUACGUUCCCGGGCCUUGUACACACCGCCCGUCAAGUCAUGAAAGUCGGUAACACCCGAAGCCGGU
rnacentral:rRNA from 1 species